rnacentral:rRNA from 1 species
CUUGACAAACUUAUAAGAGGUCCAGCCUGCCCAGUGACUCUGUUCAACGGCCGCGGUAUCCUAACCGUGCGAAGGUAGCGUAAUCACUUGUUCUUUAAAUGAGGACUAGUAUGAAUGGCACCACGAAGGUUAUACUGUCUCCUUUUUCUAAUCAGUGAAACUAAUCUUCCCGUGAAGAAACGGGAAUAAAAAUAUAAGACGAGAAGACCCUAUGGAGCUUUAAACAAAUAUACACCUGCCUCUUUACCAAAAAUUUCAGAAGACAAGUAACUAUCCGGGCAUUUUGAUAUAGCGUUUUAGGUUGGGGUGACCACGGAGCAAAAAAUAACCUCCGCAGCGAACGGGAGUAUUCCCUAAACCAAGGGCCACAACCCCAAGUAUUGAUAAAUCAACACCAAUUGACCCAAUAAAUUUGAUCAAUGAAC